GGGUAGUUAUACCGUAGAGGUAGCGGUGCUGACUGUAAAUCAGUUGUCUUAGACUCGGGGCGUUCGACUCACCCACUUCUCACCA
rnacentral:tRNA from 1 species